GGGGUCGUGGCGUAGCCAGGAAGCGCGGCGGGCUCCAGCGGUGUGAUGACCAAUGGGUCUGCUGAAGUGUGAUGACCCGUUGGAGCUCUGACCGAAGAGACCCGCUGGUCGUGGGUUCAAAUCCCACCGGCCCCA
rnacentral:tRNA from 1 species